rnacentral:tRNA from 1 species
UAGCCAAGUGGUAAGGCAUCGGUUUCUGAUACCAACAUGCAAAGGUUCGAAUCCUUU